UACAGAGGGGGCAAGCGUUGUUCGGAAUUACUGGGCGUAAAGGGCGCGUAGGCGGCCCGCUAAGUCGAACGUGAAAUCCCCAGGCUCAACCUGGGAACUGCGUCCGAUACUGGCAGGCUUGAAUCCGGGAGAGGGAUGUGGAAUUCCAGGUGUAGCGGUGAAAUGCUUAGAUAUGACAUAGAACACCAAUUGCGAAGGCAACUGGCUACACAAAUAAUUGACACUGGAGGCAACGAAAGCCGUGGGGAUCAAACAGG
rnacentral:rRNA from 1 species